rnacentral:misc_RNA from 1 species
UUCAGAGGCAGCAGUGGGGAAUUUUGGACAAUGGGGAAACCCUGAUCCAGCCAUCCCGCGUGCGAUGGGGCCUUCGGGUUGUAAAGCACUUUUGGCAGGGGAAAGAAGUAGCUGCAGGAUAAUACCCGAUGCAACUGACGGUACCUACCCGGUAUAAGCACCGGCUAACUACGUGCCGGCGGCCACCGGUGGCACGUAGGGUGCAAGCGUUAAUCUGGAAUUACUGGGCGUAAAGCGUGCAUGAGCGGUUCGGAAAAGAAAGAUGAAAUCCCAGAGCUUAACUUUGGAACUGCGACACCAACUACCGAGCUAGAGUGUGUCAGGAGGUGGAGAUUCCACGCGUGUGGCGAAGUGAAAUGCGUAGAUAUGCGGAGGAACACCGAUGGCGAAGGCAGCCUCCUGGGAUAACACUGACGCUCAUGCACGAAAAGCGAUGUAAGGAGCAAACAGGAUUAGAUACCCCCGUA